GAUGAACGCUGGCGGCGUGCUUAACACAUGCAAGUCGAACGGAGAUUUCGUUUUCGGAUGGAAUCUUAGUGGCGGACGGGUGAGUAACGCGUGAGGAACCUGCCUUUCAGUGGGGAAUAACAGUCGGAAACGACUGCUAAUACCGCAUAAUGUAUCGUUGUCGCAUGGCGAUGAUACCAAAGAUUUAUCGCUGAAAGAUGGCCUCGCGUCUGAUUAGCUAGUUGGCGGGGUAACGGCCCACCAAGGCGACGAUCAGUAGCCGGACUGAGAGGUUGGCCGGCCACAUUGGGGACUGAGACACGGCCCAGACUCCUACGGGAGGCAGCAGUGGGGAAUAUUGGGCAAUGGGCGCAAGCCUGACCCAGCAACGCCGCGUGAAGGAUGAAGGUUUUCGGAUUGUAAACUUC
rnacentral:rRNA from 1 species